AUGGGAAUGCCAUUACGUAGAACUCCUGUAGUAUUAGCGUUGUUAUCCUUCUCAUGUGACUAUCUUUCUCUUGAUUGCCCGACUUCCUUGCACCUGGACUGUUUGUCAGGACUUGAUUUUUCUCGAAUCUGCUGCUUUCAUUCUUGUGCAACCUGGACUAUUGUUUAUCAAUAUAUCCCAAUGCGAUGUCAUUUCUCUUUCUUGUUUGAACUAUUGUUGUGCACAGCAUUUUUUUUUGAAGUGCAGUUCAUCUUAUCUGUCAAUGCUGCUCGCAAGAUGUUCAGAUGUUUAUCACCUGGACUUGUUUUUUUUAUUUCUGUUUUCAAAGGGAUGACAUCGGAAAACGACAAGGUUACAACUCUUUCAAAGAAGCAUAAGCGUGCAGGGUUUCUUUCAAAGAACCGUAAGCUCAAGUGUGUGAGGUGA
rnacentral:rRNA from 1 species